CCAAAUAAUAAUAGAUAUUCAAUUUUGUUGAAUAUGUGUUAUGGGAUGACAACUUAUGCGACGGAUUCUAAAGAGCAAUUUGAAGAUGCAAAGAAGAGGAUACAUGAGAUGACUGAAUGUUAUCGCGAGUAGACACGCAACUUAUCUUUGACCCAAAUAGGUUCAAAUGCUGGUUUUGAGACACUGGACACAAGUGCAGUUGGUAGUUCACAACAAGUCAAGAGUCCACUUGCUGUCAGAGGAAAAGGAAGACCCCCCAUCUUUGAGGAGAGCAUCCAGGAUGGAGACUGAGUUGCGGAAGGUUAAAGCCAAAAGGAAGAAAGCACCCAAAGUCAGAGGAAAACUCAAACAGCGCGAUGAAGGAGAUACACAGGAAGGAGAUACACCAGGCAUGGGCACGUGCAGGAAUUUAUUUGGACCAUCAGAAGUAGAUAUCACAAAUCCUGAUAUAGACAAUCUAGCUUUUGACAGUGGUGGAACCCAGCACCGAGAA